CCCAAAUUUUUGUGUGCUAUAGCCCAUGCCUUCCGCCUUGGGCCCGGAUGGAUCCGUCGUGGAAUCGCCUAAUAUUUGUCCCGGACAUCAAAUACGGCAUAAGAAACAAUUGUCACCGCCCCUCCAUGACCAAAUUACAUUUUUUGGCAUUUUACAACCAUAAAACUGCAAAUCCGCGCGAGUCCAAAAUUUUUGUAUGCUGUAGCCCAUGCCUUCCGCCUUGGGCCCGAAUAGAUCCGUUCUGGAAUAGCCUAAUAUUUGUCCCGGACAUCAAAUACAGCAUAAUAAAACCAUUGCCACCGCCUCGAAAUAACCAAAUUAUAUUUUUUGGCUAUUUGUAGCCAUAAAACUGCAAAUCCGCGCGAGUCCCAUAUUUUCGUGUGCUAUAAUCCAUGCCUUCCGCCUUGGGCCCGGAUGGAUCUGUCCUGGAAUAGCCUAAUAUUUGUCCCGAACAUCAAAUACGACCUAAGAAACCAUUGCCACCGCCCCGAAAUGACCAAAUUAUAUUUUUUGGCAUUUUACAGCCAUAAAACUGCAAAUCCGCGCGAGUCCCAAAUUUUUGUGUGCUAUAGUCCAUGCCUUCCGCCUUAGGCCCGGAUGGAUCCGUCCUGUAAUCGCCUAAUAUUUGUUCCGGACAUCAAAUAC
rnacentral:lncRNA from 1 species